GAAUGCAUUAUAGCAGUGGUUCCCAAUUAGUUAAGUACUGUGUGGACCCCCUGUUUUUCAAAAGCCAAGCAAUGAACCCCCUACUUUUGAAAAUGUUGACAUCUCUGUGGUUUUUGUUAUUGUUGCAUGAAUGUUGCCACCAUACCCUCCAACAUGUCCUGGUGCCUUUUGGGGCGCUACAGUCUUGUGCGAGACGCACACCCGGUUGCAGUUUCGUGCAUUUUUAGACACCGUUCUCUUUAGAUGUCCCAGAGAGAUGACAAGGAUGUGCCAUGGGCCCCCUGGAUAGGUUACACGGACCCCCUGGGGUCUGUGGACCACUAAUUGGGAAUCACUGUAUUAUGACACAUUCUGCUCCAUGUGAUUAUACCAGGUUCCCUCCAUUUCUAGAAGAGGAGCCCUGUUAAGUAUUUAAUGAGCUACAUGUUACAUUGAUAUGAAUGAGAAUCACUAGCAGUACAACACUCUUCUUCAGAGUUUAGCUCCCUCCUCAUAGUCUGCAAAUUAUAUUUCUAAGCAGGCAAGGGGAUAGUCAGGAUCAGGCCUGUGAGUUGUUUUAAAGUGUUUCUAAUGUUAAGGGACGCGGGUGGCGCUGUGGGUUAAACCACAGAGCCUAGGGCUUGCUGAUCAAAAGGUCGACAGUUCAAAUCCCCGCGACGGGGUGAGCUCCCGUUGCUCAGUCCCUGCUCCUGCCAACCUAGCAGUUUGAAAGCAUGUCAAAUUACAAGUAGAUAAAUAGGUACCGCUCCGGUGGGAAGGUAAAUGGCGUUUCCGUGCGCUGCUCUGGUUCGCCAGAAGCGGCUUAGUCAUGUUGGCCACAUAGGCCGGAAGCUGUACAAUGGCUCCCUCGGCCAAUAAAGCGAGAUGAGCGCCGCAACCCCAGAGUCGGCCACAAUUGGACCUAAUGGUCAGGGGUCCCUUUACCUUUACCUAAUGUUGUUUUUUAAUGGGACCUUAGGGUGAAGGGCAGGUAAUAAUAUACUAAUCAUGCAAGUCAGGUGAGCUUUUUUUUUUUUAUGCACCUUUAUCACACAAAUAUGCUAUUUAAAGCAAAUGUCCCAAAGGCUUGGGAUUCUGAAAGCUAGCAAGAAUUUUAUUGUCUCAUUCCGAUAAGAAAAGGGAAGUCCGAUAAGAAAAGGGAAGCAUCCAGGUAGCAAUUCAAUCCAGGAGAAACCUAGGUGAUAACGCUUGAAUACAGAUCAUGUAAUGAGACUAUCUACGUAUCUCAUACAGCAACCACAUCGGGUGCUGUAACCUUCCAACAGUUUGACUUCACCCUCAAAGGUGUUCUCUGUUGUUUCUUGAUGCAGAUGGAUGCCAACCAACAGAUUUCUUAAACCAGCACUUGUUGAAACAUUUAGUUGCCCGCAAAUUAUUAUUUGAGAUUCAUUGAGCCUUCAGCUACCCAAGUAGAAAAAUUGCUGUCAUUCUCACAAGAUGGCUCUAGUGAGUCUCAGCGGAUGGGUUUUCAGGUUACUACUUGGACAUUUACUACUGUACUUAUAGUUUCUCAGGAAUAGGAAGAAGAUUCUGGCUGCAAGUAUUCCAUCUCCUGUGUCAACAGAAUACAAACUAGGCAUUUAUUUCCCUCAUUCCCAGUGUACAGAUGCCUGGAGUUCACUAUUCCUUUCCUCACACUGAAUUGCAGAGCUUAUGUUCAUAACCUUACUAAGCAAUAGGGAAUAGACAGGGUGAAGCAGAACAAUCGAGUGCCUUGUGACCCUCAACAGCCUCACUCCUGUCCCUUUUAAAUUUAUCCCACAGAUUUGAAAUGUCUUAACUUGUAAUGCCAAUAAAGGUAUUUGUAUUGUAUUGUUGUAAUAAUAAUAAUUGGUGCAGUCUAGAGUAGCAUUAGCUUUUUUGUGGCUGCAUCACACUGUUGACACAUAUUGAGCUUGGGGUCAACUAAGACCCCAAGAUCCUUUUCACAUGUACUACUGGCAAUCCAGGUGUCCCCCAUCUUAUAUUUGUGCCUGUGGUUAUUCCUACCUAAGUGUAGAACCUUACAUUUGCCCCUAUUGAAAUGCACUUUGUUUAGUUUUUGCCCAGUUCUCCAAUCUGUUAAGGUCAUCUUGAAUCCCGAUGAUUCUAUGACUGAAAUGUCAGAAAAGCUGCACACAGAAGGGCCUAUACAUUGUUGGUGAAAAGACAGGUCAAGUGAUCGAGCUGGCUUAAGAAGUGUACAGGUGUGUGAACCAGCGAGUCAAAGGAGCAAGAAAACCAAGGGAAGAGAUGGAACUGAAUUACACAUAUUGAUUUGAAAGAACUGGGAGAACAUCUGGUAUCAGGUUCUCUAGUAAUGUUCUAAAUCAAAUCAUCUGACUGAGCAGAACAGGAUAAUGGGGCUGUGGGGAGGGUGGGAAGGAGCCGUUUGGAUCCAGUCAAAACAUUUGUGAUCAUAAACAGGCUGCUUUCUUUCUGCUUCCAAGGUCAGCAAUAUACACAUUCAUUUGCUACACGUCUACCUCAAUAACAUUAUUACUGUCUGUUAUUAUUGUCUGUUGCUUUUCAGUGUGGUUUUGUGUUAGAUUGGGAAAGCCGUUACAUGCUUGUUCCAAAAAUAUUUUCGUUUUUCUGAUAAAAAUAGUCUGAAAGUCCUCCGUGUGCAAGGUUUAAACUGCUGAGACAUCCUUGUUUCCCUCUUUAACAAAAAUGAAAAAAUAAAUGCAGCAACCUGUGGGUUUUUUUAAAAAAAACAAAAACAAAAAAAACCCCUUAUGAUUUCAGAUUUUCUUGAAACAAAACAAUUUAGUGGGAUAUUUGAUACAUUUUAAAAUUGUCAGAGCUGAGUCAAAAUGAAUCAUAUACUUGAUUAAUAUUUUAUUUUGCAAAUUUACUGUAAGGACAAAUGAUUUUCCAAAUGCAUAAAUUAUUUAACAGUAUUAGGUAACAGAUUUGUCAGCCAAAAUGCUUUUGCAUUAAUAUUGCC